CAGCCGCCACGGUAAGACAGAGGGUGCAAACGUUGUUCGGAAUUACUGGGCGUAAAGCGUGUGUAGGCGGCUUCGCAAGUCGGAUGUGAAAGCCCCGGGCUCAACCCGGGAAGUGCACUCGAUACUGCGGAGCUAGAGUGUCGGAGAGGUUGGUGGAAUUCUCGGUGUAGAGGUGAAAUUCGUAGACAUCGAGAGGAACACCGGUGGCGAAGGCGGCCAACUGGACGAACACUGACGCUGAGACACGAAAGCGUGGGGAGCAAACAGGAUUAGAUACCCGCGUAGUCCCUGUCUCUUAUAC
rnacentral:rRNA from 1 species